rnacentral:rRNA from 1 species
AGCGAACGCUGGCGGCAGGCCUAACACAUGCGAGUCGAACGGAUCCUUCGGGAUUAGUGGCGGACGGGUGAGUAACACGUGGGAACGUGCCCUUUGGUUCGGAACAACUCAGGGAAACUUGAGCUAAUACCGGAUGUGCCCUUCGGGGGAAAGAUUUAUCGCCAUUGGAGCGGCCCGCGUCUGAUUAGCUAGUUGGUGAGGUAACGGCCCACCAAGGCGACGAUCAGUAGCUGGUCUGAGAGGAUGAUCAGCCACACUGGGACUGAGACACGGCCCAGACUGCUACGGGAGGCAGCAGUAGGGAAUCUUGCGCAAUGGGCGAAAGCCUGACGCAGCCAUGCCGCGUGAAUGAUGAAGGUCUUAGGAUUGUAAAAUUCUUUCAGCGGGGACGAUAAUGACGGUACCCGCAGAAGAAGCUCCGGCUAACUUCGUG